GUGCAGCAGUCGCGAAACCUUCGCAAUGCGGGAAACCGCGACGAGGGGACUCCCAGUGCCUACGCUCAGCGUAGGCUGUUCCCGAGCCUAGAAAGCUCGGGGAGUAAGGGCUGGGUAAGACGGGUGCCAGCCGCCGCGGUAAUACCCGCAGCCCGAGUGGUGGCCACUAUUAUUGGGCCUAAAGCGUCCGUAGCCGGCCCGGUAAAUGCCUGGGUAAAUCGUGAGGCCUAACCUCACGAAUUCCGGGUAGACUGCCGGGCUGGGGACCGGAGGGAGGGAGAGGGUACUCCAGGGGUAGGGGUGAAAUCCUGUAAUCCCUGGAGGACCACCGGUGGCGAAGGCGCUCUCCUAGGACGGGUCCGACGGUGAGGGACGAAAGCCAGGGGAGCGAACCGGAUUAGAUACCCCUGUAGU
rnacentral:rRNA from 1 species